GAUGAAGAACGCAGCGAAAUGCGAUACUUGGUGUGAAUUGCAGAAUCCCGUGAACCAUCGAGUCUUUGAACGCAAGUUGCGCCCGAAGCCAUUAGGCCGAGGGCACGCCUGCCUGGGCGUCACACGUCGUUGCCCCCCCAUCUACUCCUUCGGGAUUGCGGGGGGCGGAUGAUGGCCUCCCGUGCGCCUCGUCGCGCGGUUGGCAUAAAUGCCAAGUCCUCGGCGACGCACGCCACGACAAUCGGUGGUUGCGAAACCUCGGUUGCCCGUCGUGUGCGGUCGUCGCGCAUCGAGGGCUCGAAAAAAUUGCCGGGCUCCGGCUCGACUUUCAACGCGACCCCAGGUCAGGCGGGGUUACCCGCUGAAUUUAAGCAUAUCAAUAAGCGGAGGA
rnacentral:misc_RNA from 1 species